rnacentral:lncRNA from 1 species
UUCGGGCAAAUCCCUAAGUACGAUCCGGAAGUCCACCACCUGUUUUUGACACACAACUUAGUGCACCAAUUUCACAUAAUCAGGCUCAUAAACGACGCCGCACCUACGCACAAACUCAAACCCCGCCGCGGGUUACAUCUCUCCCCACACCCACCAAACUGCAGCGGCGCUGCUUAAUAAUUUCAUAACUUUAAAAUUAUGACAGCAGUGGUAACAAACAAAAACUCCAGAGGCAUCUACAUGAAAUUCCCCACAAGUUUUGUAUACAAUUUAUAAUUAAAUUCCAACAUCUAAUUAGCCCAAAACAGUCCACAAGAUGAACCCUCUAAUCUGUUUUUUUGUCUUUUGGACAGCGACAUACCCGGAUUCAAACAACGAUAUCUUUUAAAAUAUAAUUCCAAAUCAAGCACAUAAGUACUUAUUGGAAAGAUAAGACAAAGCCCUACAUGAUUAUUAUACUGGUUAACACUAAUUACCCACGAAAAAUUCACAGAAACUGCUAAUACUACUGCUGUUCACCCACCUGAAAAAUCUGUUUUUUUGGACAGCAACAUAACCGGAUUCAAACAACGAUAUCUCCUAAAUUAUAACUCCAAAUCGAGCGCAUAAGUACUCGUUGGAAAGGUAUGACAAAGCUCUACAUGAUUCUCCCACUGAUCCCUACUAAUUGCCCACGAAAAAUUCCCAGAAAUCACUAGAACUACUGCUGUUCGUCCACCCACUAAAAUUCUGGACAGCACAUCUACCAAAUCGCAUAGGUAAACAUGUAACCAAUUAGAUUGCAGCACAAAUACAACAAAAUGAUCACGAAAAUCACCUUGGGUUCCUCCUUUCCUCCUUCUUUUCUUCCUUCUUCCUCCCUCCAAACUCCCAUGGAAGACUCGCACCCACACGACGGACACCAAGCGGGGAGGCUCCACCUUGGAGAGGAAGAGGUGGGGGGGCUAGGGUUGAGGGGUGGCGCUGCAAUCACUUGGGGAAGAAGGAGAGGGAUUGGGGCGGCUGCAAGAGUGGAAGAGAGAGGGGAGGGGCGGCCAAAGGGGUGGGGGAGUGAG